rnacentral:lncRNA from 1 species
CUUCGUUACUGAAAUAUGAAUCUAAUCCCAUCUCUGAAUUUGAUCAACCAAAACUGUGCAAACUGAGAGCUUCCUAAAUUGGAUUUUAGUAGUGAAUUGAUUUGAGCCCUACUUUUUGUUUAGCACAUCAGCUGCUUAUGUCAGCCUGUACUGUAGUGGUGGGUUAGUGACCUCAGUGAUAUGUUGGAAGCUACAGACUUAACUGUCAAUAGGAUUGGCUUGGCCCUUUAUCCUUCAGCGGCAGAUAAAUAGAGCCCCAUUCAGUAGGUUCAUUGUGUAGGGAUUUGUUGGAGUUUUAUUUAUGCAGAUUUGGAAGCAGUUGGAGAUCAUCAACAUCCAAUACACCCUCUGUCAAAUAUUUCUCUUCCAUUGUUGGGUUAUUAAAAUAUGGGUUGGGAGGUUGGGGGAUUCUGUCCUUUUUAGAAGCAAAUACUUUUUUAAAAAUAAUCAAAAGAGCAUUUUUUUUAUUUUGUAUUUUUUGGUAUCUAGGGUAUCUCUGAGUAGUCGAUUUUUGAUCUCUACCCAUCCUCAAAACUGAAAACCAGUCCUCCAUUUCUCCAGGGCUUACCUUUUCAUCACUUGAAGACCAGUGGUUACGUGAUUUGGACCCACUGAGGAACGUAGAAUGAUAUCAGUUCAAAAGUAUUGGAUACCUGUGGAGCACUUUGCAAGAUAUUGCAGGAUUUUUGGGGCUUUCUAUAGAACUACACAGAAGUAUUGCUGAGUACUUUGCAAUAUGAAUUCCUGCAAUUUGCAGGAAUUUGCCACGCUUUUCAGGUGAUCAUGCUUGGGGACUGGUGGAGACUUCACUUAAGAAUCUCUCAUCAAGAACAGGCACAGAGUACGAAUUGAGGAGGCUCUGAAUUCCGGAAGCACUUCCAGGAACUGUGGGGUUGACAGAAGGGAUAUGCAACAGGUUCUGCAUCCUUGAGGAUCUCACUGCAAGAACAGCACAGAAAGAGCAUGACCCAACUCAAGAGGAGUCUAGACAUCGAGUUGCACAAGACUGAGUGUGCACAAUGGGAUUGGAGAGAAGUAACGGCAUGGGCUGCCAUGAUCAGGGAAAGCUGCACAGAAGUGUUGGGUUUGGUGAGUGUCUCACAGUGAGUGACUGCUAUGAAUCAGAUACUGAGGCAGAGCUAAAUAAGGUGCAGCCUUUGCUCUAAGGAGCUUAGAACCAGUAAAGAAAGACGUAUUAACAUGCAAUGUUUAAAUGGUGCAGUGAGGGAGUGCUAGGAAUGGUUUUCGGGAAUAUUGUAAGAACAUGGAAGGAAAAGGGCUUAAGUUGGCUUUGCAGGAUGAAUUGGGUCUAAGUUAGCCCUAGGUAGGUGGAUCAGCACGAACAAAGGUAUAACAGUGGGGAAAC